rnacentral:tRNA from 1 species
GGGGAUAUGGUUUAGUGGUAUAAUACCUCUUUAGCAUAGAGGUGGCCCGGCGUUUGAUUCGCCGUAUCUCCA